rnacentral:rRNA from 1 species
UCGGGAAUAUUGCGCAAUGGAGGAAACUCUGACGCAGUGACGCCGCGUGCAGGAAGAAGGUUUUCGGAUUGUAAACUGCUUUAGACAGGGAAGAAAAAAUGACAGUACCUGUAGAAUAAGCUCCGGCUAACUACGUGCCAGCAGCCGCGGUAAUACGUAGGGAGCAAGCGUUAUCCGGAUUUAUUGGGUGUAAAGGGUGCGUAGACGGAGAAGCAAGUUAGUUGUGAAACCCCUCGGCUUAACCGAGGAACUGCAACUAAAACUACUUCCCUUGAGUGCUGGAGAGGAAAGUGGAAUUCCUAGUGUAGCGGUGAAAUGCGUAGAUAUUAGGAGGAACACCAGUGGCGAAGGCGACUUUCUGGACAGUAACUGACGUUGAGGCACGAAAGUGUGGGGAGCAAACAGGAUUAGAUACCC